GUUUCAUUCCUUUUCAUAACUAGCAGUCCGGACUGUUAAUCUAAGGGUCCAUCUGUUAUGGAAGUUGCUCUUCAAGAGGCUGGCAAGAAAGGCCAACAGCGAGCAGCACCGACAAACACCGGAACCAAAGUCCAAGGCUUAGGUUCCCCUUCCUACCAGAAUUGCGGCGACUCUUGCGCAGGCGCAGUGGGCUAGUCAGCGCCGGACUGGUUCCGUGUUUAGAGCCGAUCCGGGUUCAGCAGCUCCAGAAUUAGGCCGGCCUCUUCUCUCCUCUAACUGUGGCUGUCGAGGCGUUGCUGAACGAAUCAGACUCUGUCCUCCACGCUUGGCUCCUGGCCACAGUGCCCGCCCCGGCCGGAAGUUGCACUGCAGCAGAGGGACAACUUCGGACGUCAGACAGCAAGGACCGAGUAUUCGCCGAAUUGGAGUAUUUGUUUCAGUACGACCUAGUUGCACUUGAGAGUACAUCCUAAGGAAACAAUUAGAGACACCAAAAUGCUAAAGAAGUUCAUGUCAGCAUUAUUCAUAGUAGGAAAACGCUGGAAACACCGGAAAUGUCCAGCGAUGAGAUGGGUGAGCGCAUCAUAAGGUGGGAGUGUUAUACGGUUAUUAAAAUUAUAUUUUUGAGCAGUUUUUAACAGAAGGUGUGGGACAAUGUUGACGAUGUAAUGUUAAAGUAGGACAUAAAAUUGCGUGUGGAGCUUGAUCUUGAC
rnacentral:lncRNA from 1 species